rnacentral:ncRNA from 1 species
CCGGUUCCGGUUCACACCCCGAGUCAGAGUUCUCGGCGGUGACCCGGCGACC